UACGAAGGGGGCGAGCGUUGUUCGGAAUCACUGGGCGUAAAGGGCGCGUAGGCGGAUAGUUCAGUCGGGGGUGAAAGCCCGGGGCUCAACCUCGGAACUGCCUUCGAUACUGGCUAUCUUGAGUACGGGAGAGGUGUGUGGAACUCCGAGUGUAGAGGUGAAAUUCGUAGAUAUUCGGAAGAACACCAGUGGCGAAGGCGACACACUGGCCCGUUACUGACGCUGAGGCGCGAAAGCGUGGGGAGCAAACAGG
rnacentral:rRNA from 1 species